UGUAGGAUGCCAGAUUUGAUGGGUUGUAUUUAGGAUUCAAUUAUGAAUAUAAUGUUCUCCUAUAG
rnacentral:tRNA from 1 species